CCAGGAUGUUGGCUUAGAAGCAGCCAUCAUUUAAAGAAAGCGUAAUAGCUCACUGGUCGAGUCGGCCUGCGCGGAAGAUGUAACGGGGCUAAACCAUGCACCGAAGCUGCGGCAGCGACACUAUGUGUUGUUGGGUAGGGGAGCGUUCUGUAAGCCUGUGAAGGUGUACUGUGAGGUAUGCUGGAGGUAUCAGAAGUGCGAAUGCUGACAUAAGUAACGAUAAAGCGGGUGAAAAGCCCGCUCGCCGGAAGACCAAGGGUUCCUGUCCAACGUUAAUCGGGGCAGGGUGAGUCGACCCCUAAGGCGAGGCCGAAAGGCGUAGUCGAUGGGAAACAGGUUAAUAUUCCUGUACUUGGUGUUACUGCGAAGGGGGGACGGAGAAGGCUAUGUUGGCCGGGCGACGGUUGUCCCGGUUUAAGCGUGUAGGCUGAUUUUCCAGGCAAAUCCGGAAAAUCAAGGCUGAGGCGUGAUGACGAGGCACUACGGUGCUGAAGCAACAAAUGCCCUGCUUCCAGGAAAAGCCUCUAAGCAUCAGGUAACAUCAAAUCGUACCCCAAACCGACACAGGUGGUCAGGUAGAGAAUACCAAGGCGCUUGAGAGAACUCGGGUGAAGGAACUAGGCAAAAUGGUGCCGUAACUUCGGGAGAAGGCACGCUGAUAUGUAGGUGAAGCGACUUGCUCGUGGAGCUGAAAUCAGUCGAAGAUACCAGCUGGCUGCAACUGUUUAUUAAAAACACAGCACUGUGCAAACACGAAAGUGGACGUAUACGGUGUGACGCCUGCCCGGUGCCGGAAGGUUAAUUGAUGGGGUUAGCGGUAACGCGAAGCUCUUGAUCGAAGCCCCGGUAAACGGCGGCCGUAACUAUAACGGUCCUAAGGUAGCGAAAUUCCUUGUCGGGUAAGUUCCGACCUGCACGAAUGGCGUAAUGAUGGCCAGGCUGUCUCCACCCGAGACUCAGUGAAAUUGAACUCGCUGUGAAGAUGCAGUGUACCCGCGGCAAGACGGAAAGACCCCGUGAACCUUUACUAUAGCUUGACACUGAACAUUGAGCCUUGAUGUGUAGGAUAGGUGGGAGGCUUUGAAGUGUGGACGCCAGUCUGCAUGGAGCCGACCUUGAAAUACCACCCUUUA
rnacentral:rRNA from 1 species